GACGAACCGUGCGAACGUUAUUCGGAAUCACUGGGCUUAAAGCGCGUGUAGGCGGGCCGCCACGUCGGCUGCUGAAAUCCCCCGGCUCAACCGGGGAACGGGCACCGAUACGAGCGGCCUGGAGGGGGUAGGGGGCACUGGAACUUCCGGUGGAGCGGUGAAAUGCGUUGAGAUCGGAAGGAACGCCCGUGGCGAAAGCGAGUGCCUGGACCCUUACGUGACGCUGAGACGCGAAAGCCAGGGGAGAGCGAA
rnacentral:rRNA from 1 species